rnacentral:rRNA from 1 species
UACGAAGGGGGCUAGCGUUGCUCGGAUUGACUGGGCGUAAAGGGCGCGUAGGCGGCUUGUACAGUCAGACGUGAAAUUCCUGGGCUCAACCUGGGGGCUGCGUUUGAUACGUAUGGGCUUGAGUUCGGAAGAGGGUCGUGGAAUUCCCAGUGUAGAGGUGAAAUUCGUAGAUAUUCGCAAGAACACCAGUGGCGAAGGCGGCUCACUGGCCCGGUACUGACGCUGAGGCACGAAAGCGUGGGGAGCAAACAGG